UCAGAGCACUUUGACUUUCGGCAUGAAUGAAAGAUGGAGGAGAUGCCAAGGUGG
rnacentral:snoRNA from 1 species